UACAGAGGGUGCAAGCGUUAAUCGGAAUUACUGGGCGUAAAGCGUGCGCAGACGGUCUCGUAAGUCGGGUGUGAAAUCCCCGGGCUCAACCUGGGAAUUGCAUUCGAAACUGCGAGGCUAGGGUACGGAAGAGGGAAGCGGAAUUUCUGGUGUAGCGGUGAAAUGCGUAGAUAUCGUAAGGAACACCCGUGGCGAAAGCGGCUCACUGGGUCUUCUCUGACGCUGAUGCACGAAAGCUAGGGGAGCAAACGGG
rnacentral:rRNA from 1 species